UGGCUCAGAUUGAACGCUGGCGGCAGGCCUAACACAUGCAAGUCGAGCGGUAGCACAGAGAGCUUGCUCUCGGGUGACGAGCGGCGGACGGGUGAGUAAUGUCUGGGAAACUGCCUGAUGGAGGGGGAUAACUACUGGAAACGGUAGCUAAUACCGCAUAAUGUCGCAAGACCAAAGUGGGGGACCUUCGGGCCUCAUGCCAUCAGAUGUGCCCAGAUGGGAUUAGCUAGUAGGUGGGGUAACGGCUCACCUAGGCGACGAUCCCUAGCUGGUCUGAGAGGAUGACCAGCCACACUGGAACUGAGACACGGUCCAGACUCCUACGGGAGGCAGCAGUGGGGAAUAUUGCACAAUGGGCGCAAGCCUGAUGCAGCCAUGCCGCGUGUGUGAAGAAGGCCUUCGGGUUGUAAAGCACUUUCAGCGGGGAGGAAGGCGUUAAGGUUAAUAACCUUGUCGAUUGACGUUACCCGCAGAAGAAGCACCGGCUAACUCCGUGCCAGCAGCCGCGGUAAUACGGAGGGUGCAAGCGUUAAUCGGAAUUACUGGGCGUAAAGCGCACGCAGGCGGUCUGUCAAGUCGGAUGUGAAAUCCCCGGGCUCAACCUGGGAACUGCAUUCGAAACUGGCAGGCUAGAGUCUUGUAGAGGGGGGUAGAAUUCCAGGUGUAGCGGUGAAAUGCGUAGAGAUCUGGAGGAAUACCGGUGGCGAAGGCGGCCCCCUGGACAAAGACUGACGCUCAGGUGCGAAAGCGUGGGGAGCAAACAGGAUUAGAUACCCUGGUAGUCCACGCCGUAAACGAUGUCGAUUUGGAGGUUGUGCCCUUGAGGCGUGGCUUCCGGAGCUAACGCGUUAAAUCGACCGCCUGGGGAGUACGGCCGCAAGGUUAAAACUCAAAUGAAUUGACGGGGGCCCGCACAAGCGGUGGAGCAUGUGGUUUAAUUCGAUGCAACGCGAAGAACCUUACCUGGUCUUGACAUCCACAGAACUUUCCAGAGAUGGAUUGGUGCCUUCGGGAACUGUGAGACAGGUGCUGCAUGGCUGUCGUCAGCUCGUGUUGUGAAAUGUUGGGUUAAGUCCCGCAACGAGCGCAACCCUUAUCCUUUGUUGCCAGCGGUUAGGCCGGGAACUCAAAGGAGACUGCCAGUGAUAAACUGGAGGAAGGUGGGGAUGACGUCAAGUCAUCAUGGCCCUUACGACCAGGGCUACACACGUGCUACAAUGGCAUAUACAAAGAGAAGCGACCUCGCGAGAGCAAGCGGACCUCAUAAAGUAUGUCGUAGUCCGGAUUGGAGUCUGCAACUCGACUCCAUGAAGUCGGAAUCGCUAGUAAUCGUAGAUCAGAAUGCUACGGUGAAUACGUUCCCGGGCCUUGUACACACCGCCCGUCACACCAUGGGAGUGGGUUGCAAAAGAAGUAGGUAGCUUAACCUUCGGGAGGGCGCUUACCACUUUGUGAUUCAUGACUGGGGUGAAGUC
rnacentral:rRNA from 1 species